UACGUAGGGGGCAAGCGUUGUCCGGAUUUAUUGGGCGUAAAGAGCGUGUAGGCGGCCAGGUAGGUCUGCUGUGAAAACUCGAGGCUCAACCUCGAGAUGUCAUCGGAAACCAUUUGGCUAGAGUCCGGAAGAGGAGAGUGGAAUUCCGUGGUGUAGCGGUGAAAUGCGCAGAUAUCAGGAAGAACACCAAUGGCGAAAGCAGCUCUCUGGGACGGUACUGACGCUGAGACGCGAAAGCGUGGGGAGCGAACAGG
rnacentral:rRNA from 1 species